CUAUUAUUGAGGUCUUUAGGAGUCUAUUGGAAGUUAAAAUGUGGGAAGGACAGUGCUUGCACGCUGUAAUGUCAACGAAAUAUUGAUUUGUUUAUCACCCGCGCAGGGCUGGGAGCUGUAUGGGUGGUCACUUCCACAGCACUAGCGCUGCCUCCCGCAGGGUGGUGUCCCAGCGCUGUUCUGCUUUUCCGUCUCUGUUAGGAUUAAUCAUUGCCACGCUGCACCGUUCCCUUCCAUCAAGACUAAUCAGACCCAAUUCACCUACAUUAAAUCAGUUACGCAUAAUUUAGAUUUAGUUCAAAUGUAAAUGCGCAUGUUAGGGCCUAACUAUCUCUGAAAAAUACAUUAUCCUAGUUGAGAAACCAUUUGUCAUUUGAAAGUGAUAUAGCUGAAUGUGGGAGAAAAUCGUAGUAGUCUAAUUAAUUGGUAGUUAAAUGGGCUAAAGCAGAAUUAGCUUCACAGAUCUCUUUUUAUGUCCUUAGAAAUGUACCCACCACUACUCUGAAAAGUCUAUGCCCAAAACAAAGUUCAGUGCUGCCCUCUAGUGAGAGAACAGAUGUAGGACAGGGAGGAUACAAGCUUGUUAUGUUCAACAUUAUGAUAUGUCUGGACUUUUUUAUUGUAUAAAGCGCACGUUAUGAUAUCAAACAUGCAUAAUGUAAUCAAAUAUGAACAAACUAAUAAUGACAGAAUAUGAAAUUAUUUAUGACAAUCCUAAAUCACAUGUAAUUUCCCCCUAGUCGGAUGGAUAUUUUCACUUGGCUAGAUCAGAUAACCUCCUCUCAACCUGGCAACAAGCGUCGUCCAACCAACACUGCUGCAGUAGAACACAUGCACCUGAAAGGCCUAGAGGAGAAUUACCCUGACACAUACCAAUGGACUCAAGCUCCAGCAGCUCAACGCAGCAACAACUGAAAUACAUCAAGAUAUAGAGGAUCUCUAUGGUUCCAUCAUCUCCCACACAUACUGUACUGGCUAAGAGAGAGACCCCAGAGGCAAGGUGCCAUGGACACAGAGCCUUCAGCUAAGACCUCACCACACCUCCCAUGGACUGUCUAUCAGAGAAAAGAUUAUGUGUGGUACUUUGUGCUGAUCUCUCGCUCUCUCUUGGUCUAGUUGGUUCUAGUGUCUUAGAUCUGGAAUACAAUCCCAGAGAUGCCAGUACAAGAAGACAUACUGUGUAAGUGGCCCAUCAUAACACCCCAGUCCCC
rnacentral:lncRNA from 1 species